GGGCAUUGAUGCAGUAAUGCCCUUCUUCACGUUGAUGUGUUCUGUUUACCUCCCAGAGGCAAGGUUGUCAGUGAGCACAAAGGAUCAUCUAAUUGGACCUGGCAUGGAAAUUUGGAAUGCAGUCCUGCGAAGUUUAUCAUCUCCAUUUAUGUCCUGGAAAAGGGAAGAUUUCUUUUACAUCCUGACCUGGUUUCUGUACCACUUACUUAACAAAUAAGCAUUUAGAGAAUGUCUCU
rnacentral:lncRNA from 1 species